GACGAACGCUGGCGGCGUGCCUAAUACAUGCAAGUCGAACGAGAGCGACCGGUGCUUGCACUGGUCAAUCUAGUGGCGAACGGGUGAGUAACACGUGGGUAACCUGCCCAUCAGAGGGGGAUAACAUCCGGAAACGGAUGCUAAAACCGCAUAGGUCUUCGAACCGCAUGGUUUGAAGAGGAAAAGAGGCGCAAGCUUCUGCUGAUGGAUGGACCCGCGGUGCAUUAGCUAGUUGGUGAGGUAACGGCUCACCAAGGCCGUGAUGCAUAGCCGACCUGAGAGGGUGAUCGGCCACAUUGGGACUGAGACACGGCCCAAACUCCUACGGGAGGCAGCAGUAGGGAAUCUUCCGCAAUGGACGCAAGUCUGACGGAGCAACGCCGCGUGAGUGAAGAAGGUUUUCGGAUCGUAAAACUCUGUUGUUAGAGAAGAACAAGUGCUAGAGUAACUGUUAGCGCCUUGACGGUAUCUAACCAGAAAGCCACGGCUAGCUACGUG
rnacentral:rRNA from 1 species